rnacentral:rRNA from 1 species
AGCAGAGAUGCUUUGGUGCCUUCGGGAACUCUGAGACAGGUGCUGCAUGGCUGUCGUCAGCUCGUGUUGUGAAAUGUUGGGUUAAGUCCCGCAACGAGCGCAACCCUUAUCCUUUGUUGCCAGCGGUCCGGCCGGGAACUCAAAGGAGACUGCCAGUGAUAAACUGGAGGAAGGUGGGGAUGACGUCAAGUCAUCAUGGCCCUUACGAGUAGGGCUACACACGUGCUACAAUGGCGCAUACAAAGAGAAGCGACCUCGCGAGAGCAAGCGGACCUCAUAAAGUGCGUCGUAGUCCGGAUUGGAGUCUGCAACUCGACUCCAUGAAGUCGGAAUCGCUAGUAAUCGUAGAUCAGAAUGCUACGGUGAAUACGUUCCCGGGCCUUGUACACACCGCCCGUCACACCAUGGGAGUGGGUUGCAAAAGAAGUAGGUAGCUUAACCUUCGGGAGGGCGCUUACCACUUUGUGAUUCAUGACUGGGGUGAAGUCGUAACAAGGUAGGCGUAGCGAG